GCCAGCUUGGCUUAGUGGUAGAGCGUCGCUCUUGUAAAGCGAAGGUCGGUGGUUCAAUUCCGUCAGUUGGCA
rfam:Piromyces finnis strain finn BCR36scaffold_57, whole genome shotgun sequence.